rnacentral:rRNA from 1 species
UACGUAGGGUCCGAGCGUUGUCCGGAAUUACUGGGCGUAAAGGGCUCGUAGGUGGUUUGUCGCGUUGUUCGUGAAAACUCACAGCUCAACUGUGGGCGUGCGGGCGAUACGGGCAGACUAGAGUACUGCAGGGGAGACUGGAAUUCCUGGUGUAGCGGUGGAAUGCGCAGAUAUCAGGAGGAACACCGGUGGCGAAGGCAGAUCUCUGGGCCGUAACUGACGCUGAGACGCGAAAGCGUGGGGAGCGAACAGG